rnacentral:rRNA from 1 species
GCAAGUCGAGCGAGAAAGCACUUCGGUGCGAGUACAGCGGCGGACGGGUGAGUAACGCGUAGGAAUCUACCCAGUAGUGGGGGACAACAUGGUGAAAACCAUGCUAAUACCGCAUACGCCCUAUGGGGGAAAGCGGGGGAUCUUCGGACCUCGCGCUAUCGGAUGAGCCUGCGUAGGAUUAGCUAGUUGGUGAGGUAAAGGCUCACCAAGGCAACGAUCCUUAGCUUGUCUGAGAGGAUGAUC